rnacentral:rRNA from 1 species
AUUGAACGCUGGCGGCAUGCCUUACACAUGCAAGUCGAACGGCAGCAUGAUCUAGCUUGCUAGAUUGAUGGCGAGUGGCGGACGGGUGAGUAAUACAUCGGAACGUGCCCUGUAGGGGGGGAUAACUAGUCGAAAGAUUAGCUAAUACCGCAGACGACCUGAGGGUUAAAGUGGGGGGGCGCAAGGCCUCAUGCUAUAGGGGCGGCCGAUGUCUGAUUAGCUAGUUUGUGAGGUAAAGGUUCACCAAGGCGACGAUCAGUAGCUGGUGUGAGGGGACGAUCGGCCGCACUGGAACUGGGACACGGCCCAGACUCCUACGGGACGCAGCAGUGGGGAAUGUUGGACAAUGGGCGAGAGCCUGGUCCAGCAAUGCCGCGUGUGUUAAGAAGGCCUUCCGGUUGUAAAGCACUUUUGUCCGGAAAGAAAUGGCUCUGGUUAAUACCUGGGGUCGAUGACGGUACCGGAAGAAUAAGCACCGGCUAACUACGUG